UACGUAGGGUGCAAGCGUGUCCGGAUUUACUGGGCGUAAAGAGCGCGCAGGCGGUCGAUCAAGUCGAGUGUGAAAGCCCCCGGCUCAACUGGGGAGGGUCAUUCGAUACUGAUCGACUCGAAGGCAGGAGAGGGUAGUGGAAUUCCCGGUGUAGUGGUGAAAUGCGUAGAUAUCGGGGGGAACACCAGUGGCGAAGGCGACUACCUGGCCUGUUCUUGACGCUGAGG
rnacentral:rRNA from 1 species